UAGGGAAAUCUUCCACAAUGGGCGCAAGCCUGAUGGAGCAACACCGCGUGAGUGAAGAAGGGUUUCGGCUCGUAAAGCUCUGUUGUUGGAGAAGAACGUGCGUGAGAGUAACUGUUCACGCAGUGACGGUAUCCAACCAGAAAGUCACGGCUAACUACGUGCC
rnacentral:rRNA from 1 species